rnacentral:rRNA from 1 species
UACGUAGGCAGCGAGCGUUGUUCGGAAUUACUGGGCGUAAAGAGUGUGUAGGCGGUGCUCCAAGUCUGUUGUGAAAUCUCCCGGCUUAACCGGGAGGGUGCAGCGGAAACUGGAAUGCUUGAGGGUGGGAGAGGUAAGCGGAAUUCCUGGUGUAGCGGUGAAAUGCGCAGAUAUCAGGAAGAACACCCGUGGCUAAGGCGGCUCUCUAGUACGGUACUGACGCUGAGACGCGAAAGCGUGGGGAGCGAACAGG